rnacentral:antisense_RNA from 1 species
ACUUGGACGACUUGUUCCACCCAGCGCCAGUGCGGGAGUAUAAGGAGAGACGAGAAGGACCGGCUCCAUCCAGCCCUGAGGAUCCCAAAGAAAGGGUGGAAACACCCUGGAUGUGCUAAGCUGUGGCCGGGUACACUCGAGUGUUAAUUUUUUGGAGUCAAAGCCUCCCUCAGUCAAAUCGAAGAAACUGAAGCACUUGUGACUGACCCAGAUCUUCACGGAAGAAAGGGGAUUCGAACCCGGCUGACCCAGAAGCCUGGGCUCUAUACUCAAUGUAGCAUUCUCACAGACACCCAAGAUAACGUUAUCCUCAUGGAAACGAGCUCCACGAAGUGACCUACCCCAGAGCCUCAAGGCUGUGAUGAUGCUGGAAUGAGAAACAACAGGAGAGUUACCAAGAG